UACGUAGGGAGCAAGCGUUGUUCGGAUUUACUGGGCGUAAAGGGCGCGUAGGCGGCCUCCGCAAGUCAGUUGUGAAAUCUCCGAGCUUAACUCGGAAAGGUCAACUGAUACUGCGGGGCUAGAGUGCGGAAGGGGCAACUGGAAUUCUUGGUGUAGCGGUGAAAUGCGUAGAUAUCAGGAGGAACACCGGUGGCGAAGGCGGCAUCCUGGACCGGCAUUGACGCUGAGGAGCGAAAGCCAGGGAGCAAACGGG
rnacentral:rRNA from 1 species